ACUGCUAGCUAUAGCGCCCCUGUUUGUACCGUUACCUAUAUGCGCUGCAAAACCACACUGCGUACGAUUAUCGUCUGAGAAUUUUAUUUAGUUAUUUACCGUCGUAUUAAAGGAAUUGCCACAAAAUCACAAAGUACACAGUUUACAAGUAACAAAUUACUAGAAAUUCCUUUGCCAUCCUAUUUCAUUUACCUAGUUUAAUUUGGCUAGGCAAAAAACACUGGAUAUUGUCAAAAUUGUUUUUUAUGGUAAAGAUCGUCGUCCAAGUCGGCCUUCCAUUUGGCCGCCUGCUUCAUUUCUUCAUGCAUCUGGGGCGUAAUUUUAGAGGCAAAAAAUGCCAAUGGCACUAAAAAAUGAUUAAAUUACCUAAAAGCUAUAGAAAUUAAUAACAGCACUUACAAUUUGCCUGCUGAGCGCUGCGACGCAAAAACGCGAUGGUGUCCGCAUCCAGAUUCAAUCUGCGGAUUUCUUCUGGAAGGUCGCUGUCCUCCGGAAUGGUGGAUGAAAUCUCGUUGCUUUGCUGGCUGGCCAUGUUGUUGGAAAUCUUGAAGUUGCAGACUGGAGAUGACUGACUGAAUUCAUUCUCACUAGCACAGACUUAUGAGCUAGAAAAAUCUUUAACUGUCAACACGAUGGAACGUGAUGUUCCAUCACUUUCUAUUGAACAAUCGCAUUGGAAUGCAUACGUUUUCGAUUGCGAUUCUCCCUAAAAUACAAUAUCUCUAAUUUUACGCUUAAACGUUAGAAAAUUUAGCAGGUACCUAUAAAUAUGAGUUGUAUGUAUUUGUAAAUGAAGUGUAAUGGUGAUGUUUGUGAUUUGGCUGGCCGUGCUAUUGUGAUAUCAUUUCCUUGUUUGGCGCGUCUGUUGAGCGUGUGUGCGUGUACAUCUGUGGCCAGAAAAAGUUCCUGGCGGCACUACGCACAUUUUUUCCGCACGAACUCUACCGUUAUUACCUGCGGGAUAGCGAUACUAUUAGGAACACCAUCUAACCACACACACAGCAUUGCGUGAACGUCUACGACGAUAAUUUACCACAAUUACAACGGACUACGACCAUUUCAAGCGCCAAAGCUGACAUCACGACUGUGCUAGCAUCAUCACAACGUAAGUCCAUAUGGCUGAGCAGGAGCAAAGGUCAAAGCGGAAAAUGGAACCAACAGAGUAAGCUGAUUUCGUAAAAAUAUUCAGUGAAGCAAAAAGGUUUUUUAAAGCAUAAUUUAUACUUUUCUCGA